rnacentral:rRNA from 1 species
AUUGAACGCUGGCGGCAUGCCUUACACAUGCAAGUCGAACGGUAACGGGCCUUCGGGUGCCGACGAGUGGCGAACGGGUGAGUAAUGCAUCGGAACGUACCUUUCAGUGGGGGAUAACGUAGCGAAAGUUACGCUAAUACCGCAUAUUCUGUGCGCAGGAAAGCAGGGGAUCGCAAGACCUUGCGCUGAUUGAGCGGCCGAUGUCAGAUUAGCUAGUUGGUGAGGGUAAAGGGCUCACCAAGGCGACGAUCUGUAGCGGGUCUGAGAGGAUGAUCCGCCACACUGGAACUGAGACACGGUCCAGACUCCUACGGGAGGCAGCAGUGGGGAAUUUUGGACAAUGGGGGCAACCCUGAUCCAGCCAUGCCGCGUGGGUGAAGAAGGCCUCGGUGUAAG